rnacentral:lncRNA from 1 species
GACACAUCAACCACUAUUAAGGUGGCAUAUAUGACACAAAGAACACAUCAUCCUUCUUCUUCAUUUUGUUGGAUAGGAUCUCCAUGAACUUGAGAUAUAGAUGAUGUUUCUUCCAUAACUUUUUCAAGUGGAAAUUGUUGAACAAGGCAUAAAUGGCAUCCAAAACUUCAUCAAUCUCCUCUCUUUUCUCUACCUUGUUGCUAAAAAAAA